rnacentral:lncRNA from 1 species
UUAUAUCCAUAUUCGGAUAAAAAAUAUGGAUAUGUUAAAUAUCCGAUUCGUAGCCAUAUCCGUUUAUAACAAAUAUGGAUAUGCUUAAUAUUUGAUUUGUAUCCAUAUCCGUUUCGAAGAAAUAUGGAUAUUAAUUUUGAUAUAUGUUUAUUAUCUGUAUCCGUAUCCAUAUUCGUUGAAAAAUAUAAAUAAUGAAUAUAUCAAUAUCCGAUUUGUAACUGAUCUGUUUUCAGCCCUAUCACAAAGUCCCAUAUGCAAGAGGAAGAAAUCCUUGAUCCUAGCCAUCUAGACCAAACUUUACUGUGGCUUUUCUGGUACUUUAAUCUUUGUUAAGCCUUUACUUUGCAAAAGUCACAUCCAAGAGUAAAACUAGAAUGCGAGAGAAGUCCUAAACCCAACCAUCUUCCUCAAGGUUUGGUCAACUAAAAUGGUGUCAUUAUGGCUCUCCCUCUAUAUCUAUCCAAAGGUUAUGGAGUACAAUCUCACCACCUCAAGGUUUGAAAAUUUUCUUUUGGUUUUGAUUUAGCCUUUGGCUGGCUCUAUGGUGUUUCCAUAGUUUCGGUAAUUUUGAAAGUUUCACUAUGAGAUUCAGAGUUUCAAUCAAAAAUCAAAAAAAUAAUUAAAAAAGAAAAUAAAGAAGUCAAGAAAAUUUAUAAGUAUUAUAUAUUAUAGAUUCUUUCUUUGUGUAGUUACGACAAUCAUAAGCAGAAUUUAAUACUAUAGAUAAGUGAAAUCAUCAUGUACUAUGAACACAUAUUCUUUACCUGAAUUUCAGUUAUUCGAAAAUUUGUUAUGUUUAACAAUUUUGAACACUUUUUGGUGCCAAGAACAUUCACUUUUUUCUUCAAAUUUAGUAGCACUCACCAAUAUACUGAAUUUAGGCAUUCUCAUAUAUUUGGAGUUAAGAGGUUGUUCAAUAAAAUGCACAUAGUUAUGGAAUACUACAUUUCUUUUGCAUAAAGAAACUUAUUUUUGUGAAAUAUAUUGGACAUAGUUGUUUAAAAUAACCUUUGUAGAGUACUAUAUUAAAAGCCAUUUGAGGAGCCUAGGUCCGUCAAAGAUUACCAGUACCAAGAUUUUCUAUACCAACCCAUACUGUCUAGUACAUGGUCUGCCGUACCGGUCGGUACGGGCCGGUACCGGCUGGUACAUACCGGUACCGAACCCUACCGGUACGGUACAGCUACAUAUUUCGGUACCGAACCGUACCGGCCCGUACCGACCGGUACCGGCCCGUACCGAACCGGUACCGGCCCGAACCGACCAGUCCGUACCGGCUCCAAUUUUUUUUGGUUUUUAGCCCCAUCGGUACAGUACCGGUUCGGCUCGGUUUGAUUCGGCACCGUACCGGUACCGAUGCCCACCGGUACGUCGGUAUUGUCGGUACCGCGUACCUUGGUCUAGUACCAAGCAAAUCAUACCGACCAAAAAGGUAUUGGUAUGAUACAAGGGCUCAAUGUGAUACAAUACUGACACAAUAGCAUUAUCUUGCCUCCAACAACAUACCAAGUGUUAGUAUGGGGUAUAAUGUAAUCGCCCCGACUUGAAUUGGUAAGCUAUCAGUGAAAACUUUGAUCAUUAUUAAGCAUGCUCUCUUUAACUCAACAAAAAGAAAGAAAGCCAC